rnacentral:lncRNA from 1 species
GUUUCGUAUCUUGUGGUGUACAUUUUCAUUUCUCUUAUAAUGUCCUGGUCUUGCUUCAAUUCUAGGGAACAGGAUAACUGGUGGAUGGUAAGGAAGAACAAUACAACAUAUCCAGAGAUUCAAGGGAUGUGAUCUCAACUUCAACCUUUAUUAUGCUAAUCAAAAGUAAUGCCAGUACUGAAUUUGUGGAUUUCUCCAAAUCAAAGAGAAUUAACCAAACGGAGGGUCCCGGGAUAUUUGCUGAUCUUGUUGAACUUUUGUUUCCUGUCUUUUCCCACUGAGUUUCACAUUCUGAUAGGAUGGAGCUGAAAAUCUGCUCAAGGAGAUGUCUGAAAUAAAAUGGUCAAGAGGGCUGCA